rnacentral:rRNA from 1 species
GGUCUGUAACUGACGCUGAGGCUCGANAGCGUGGGGAGCGAACAGGAUUAGAUACCCUGGUAGUCCACGCCGUAAACGAUGAGUGCUAAGUGUUGGAGGGUUUCCGCCCUUCAGUGCUGCAGCAAACGCAUUAAGCACUCCGCCUGGGGAGUACGACCGCAAGGUUGAAACUCAAAGGAAUUGACGGGGGCCCGCACAAGCGGUGGAGCAUGUGGUUUAAUUCGAAGCAACGCGAAGAACCUUACCAGGUCUUGACAUCCUUUGACCACUCUAGAGAUAGAGCUUCCCCUUCGGGGGCAAAGUGACAGGUGGUGCAUGGUUGUCGUCAGCUCGUGUCGUGAGAUGUUGGGUUAAGUCCCGCAACGAGCGCAACCCUUAUUGUUAGUUGCCAUCAUUUAGUUGGGCACUCUAGCGAGACUGCCGGUGACAAACCGGAGGAAGGUGGGGAUGACGUCAAAUCAUCAUGCCCCUUAUGACCUGGGCUACACACGUGCUACAAUGGGAAGUACAACGAGUUGCGAAGUCGCGAGGCUAAGCUAAUCUCUUAAAGCUUCUCUCAGUUCGGAUUGUAGGCUGCAACUCGCCUACAUGAAGCCGGAAUCGCUAGUAAUCGCGGAUCAGCACGCCGCGGUGAAUACGUUCCCGGGCCUUGUACACAC